rnacentral:rRNA from 1 species
GAUGAACGCUGGCGGCGUGCCUAAUACAUGCAAGUCGAGCGAACAGAUAAGGAGCUUGCUCCUUUGACGUUAGCGGCGGACGGGUGAGUAACACGUGGGUAACCUACCUAUAAGACUGGGAUAACUUCGGGAAACCGGAGCUAAUACCGGAUAACAUUUGGAACCGCAUGGUUCUAAAGUGAAAGAUGGUUUUGCUAUCACUUAUAGAUGGACCCGCGCCGUAUUAGCUAGUUGGUAAGGUAACGGCUUACCAAGGCGACGAUACGUAGCCGACCUGAGAGGGUGAUCGGCCAGACUGGAACUGAGAAACGGUCCAGACUCCUACGGGAGGAAGCAGUAGGGAAUCUUCCGCAAUGGGCGAGAGCCUGACGGAGCAACGCCGCGUGAGUGAUGAAGGAGUUCGGCUCGUAAAACUCUGUUAGUAGGGAAGAACAAAUGUGUAAGUAACUGUGCACGUCUUGACGGUACCUAAUCAGAAAGCCACGGCUAACUACGUG